rnacentral:tRNA from 1 species
GCGAGCGUGGCGAAACUGGUAGACGCAGCGGACUUAAAAUCCGUUCGCCCAAAAGGCGGUGCGGGUUCAACUCCCGCCGCUCGCA